GCAGGUUUAACUUUGAGUUUGCAUAGUCAAUGUGUACAUAUGGGCUUGCUCUUUUAUUUCUUAGAGCAGAUUUGUUUUACAAAGACUAGACAAGAAGAAGAAUUGUAAUUCGUAACAGCUUUGUUUUUGUUUUCAGAAAUGUACUUGUCAAAGGAGGUGACCUCGCUUCUUCAUUGGAUGCUGUUGAUAUUUUCUUUGAUGGAGAUAAUUUCUAUGAGCUGCGUUCACCACGCAUAAGAACUCGGAAUACUCAUGGAACUGGCUGCACUUUGGCUUCAUGUAUAGCAGCUGAGCUUGCAAAAGGUUCUUUAAUGCUAUCAGCUGUUAAGGUGGUUCAUGUUGUAAAAUCAGAUUCCAGACUUGCAAAUAAUGAUCUACCUGUUGAUAUCCAAAGGUUGAGAUGUCGUGCUCUGUAUUAUGCUCUCCACUUCUCUCCUUUCUAUUGACAAUCUUGGGAAGGUUAGAACUUUUGU